UUUAAAUGGCCGCAGUAUACUAACUGUGCAAAGGUAGCAUAAUCAUUAGUCUUUUAAUUGAAGGCUGGUAUGAAUGGUUGGACGAGAUAUUAACUGUUUCAUAAAAAUUUAUAUUAGAAUUUUAUUUUUUAGUCAAAAAGCUAAAAUUUAUUUAAAAGACGAGAAGACCCUAUAAAUCUUUAUAUUUAAAUUAUUAUAAUUUUAUAGAUUAUUUUUGUUAUAAUAAUUAAUAAUAUUUUAUUGGGGUGAUAUUAAAAUUUAAUAAACUUUUAAUUGUUUAAAAUCAUUAAUUUAUGAAUAAUUGAUCCGUUAUUAACGAUUAAAAAAAUAAGUUACUUUAGGGAUAACAGCGUAAUUUUUUUGGAGAGUUCAUAUCGAUAAAAAAGAUUGCGACCUCGAUGUUGGAUUAAGAUAUAAUUUUAGGUGUAGCCGCUUAAAUUUUAAGUCUGUUCGAC
rnacentral:rRNA from 1 species